rnacentral:rRNA from 1 species
AUUGAACGCUGGCGGCAGGCCUAACACAUGCAAGUCGAACGGAGCCGGGGAGGGGUGAGUAAUGGCUAGGAAUCUGACUGGUGGUGGGGGAGAACGUCCGGAAACGGGCGCUAAUACCGCAACCUAUAAGAUGAGCAUAGGUCGCAGUAGCUAGUGGGUGGGGUAAAGGCCUACGAAGGCGACGAUCCGUAACUGGUCUGAGGGGAUGAUCAGUCACACUGGAACUGAGACACGGUCCAGACUCCUACGGGAGGCAGCAGUGGGGAAUAUUGGACAAUGGGCGAAAGCCUGAUCCAGCCAUGCCGCGUGUGUGAAGAAGGUCUUCGGUUUGUAAAGCACUUUAAGUUGGGAGGCGUUACCAACAGAAGAAGCACCGGCUAACUUCGUGCCAGCAGCCGCGGUAAUAC